UUGUGCUAAGCGGGGAGUUAGCGGUGCCCUGUACCCGAAAUCCGCUUUAGCGGGGCUGAAUUCUCUCUUUAGGGUUUAAUUUGAAAGUACCGAACGCUUAGAUCGGUCGCCGCGCAACAGACGGUCGUGAACCUCGUCAGAUCCGGAAGGAAGCAGCGAUAAGCGAUUCAGGCUGUGUCGCGGAUCGAUCCCGAUCAAAUAGGGGAUGGUAUUUUCAAACCGAAUUCGACAGAGAGUGCACAA
rnacentral:SRP_RNA from 1 species